rnacentral:rRNA from 1 species
CCUACGGGAGGCAGCAGUGAGGAAUAUUGGUCAAUGGGCGGAAGCCUGAACCAGCCAAGUAGCGUGCGGGAUGAAGGCCCUACGGGUCGUAAACCGCUUUUGCACGGGGAUAACACCCUCCACGUGUGGAGGUCUGCAGGUACCGUGCGAAUAAGGGCCGGCUAAUUCCGUGCCAGCAGCCGCGGUAAUACGGAGGGCCCGAGCGUUAUCCGGAUUGAUUGGGCUUAAAGGGAGGGUAGGCGGGCGUUCAAGUCAGCGGUAAAAUCGCGCGGCUCAACCGCGCCCCGCAGUUGAAACUGGACGCCUUGAGUUCACAACAGGUAGGCGGAAUGCGUGGUGUAGCGGUGAAAUGCAUAGAGAUCACGAGGAACCCCGAUUGCGAAGGCAGCCUGCCGGGGUGCGACUGACGCUGAGGCUCGAAGGUGCGGGUAUCAAACAGGAUUAGAUACCCUAGUAGUC